ensembl:lincRNA
CAGUUUCUUAUACCUAACAGUUUUUCAUCUCUUCCUGUUUGGGAAUAAUUUAUACAACAUUUGAAUUAGUUGGUAUUUUGUUAUAGGAACAGAAAAUAGAAUAAUACAAAAAGCUGAAAUUAAGGAUAGCUAACUAUCCCCAGGUAAUUUUGUAUAAACUGUAGGACUGCAGGACAGGGCUGAAUUUAAGAGCUGUCAUGCAUAAUCAUGGGCAACAUUUUAAUAUAGAGCCCACAGGGGUUCACAUGCAAUCAAAGACAAUGCCAUGGACAAACGCUGCCACCUGCAAAGAGCUUGUGACAACAGGAAAGCUGUCCAGUGAAGUGCCCGGGCCACAAGGACACACACUGGGUUCAUCUUGUACAUCCUGCUUCCACUGAGUGAAGCUUUCUUUUGAAACAGGGUUUCCAGGGUCUUGCUAAGUUGCACAGGCUGGGCCUGAAUGUAACAAUUCUCUUGCCUGAGCCUCCCAAGUAGCAGGGAUUACAGGCAUGUGCCAGCAUGCCUGGCAGAAGCAGUAUACUCUUAAAUAUCACUGAACAGCUAGAGGGAAGGACUAACACUGUUUCCUUAUAACAGGAGAAGUGGACCUUCAAGAAUACACUGAGUUCCACUGGACUGAGGAAUAGGCCCAGAAUGUUGUUUCCUUCAACAUUGGUAGGGAAUCUGCACUUCCUCUCCAGGGCAGCAGGCUCCUUUCAUAGUGGAGAGAGCUGCUAGCCUCUUAACCCCACACUCAGACGGCUGUUGGACCACAGCUUGCCAAAUAUAACUGACUGCGCUGGGUCCAUCCCAGGGAAAAUCCUGUGACACUGAUGGGUGUUCUGACCCAGAGGUUACACUGUUUCAAAUCAAGAGUCAAAAAACCUCCAGUUCCCUUUUUUUUGAGGAGUGGUAUGCUCUCAUUUGCACCACCUUGCCUGGUAGCAGAGCGGUGUUCAAAGACCUUAUUUUAAUCUUCCUCUUUUUCAUUUCCUUCCCACACCCCUCUAACUCUGAUCCUUCUUCUUCUCUGCUCAUAGGCAUUUUUCCCAGUGAUGGCCAAGCACUACUAAUCUACUUUGCUAAAAUCCUGCAUCUUUAUUCACUCAUCUACAAAACUCCACGUGGUGAUUUGUGGAAGGGUCAUUUAGGAGCAGAGACAGUAAGAGCCCAGCAUGUGGACAUGGAGGUACGCACUGCCUGUUUGUCACACUUGGAAACUGCCUUGGGCUCCUCUGGCCCUGGAGGACCUGAAAGUCUUCCUAGGCUGCCCCAGCCCUCCUGGAUGGAAUGUGCUUUCAUGUGGGCCAGUGAGGACCACAAGAGGGAAAGCUGGAGAAUGGCGCGACUUGCCAUCUCACACACCCUCCCUUUAGCAGAACUAGAGAGCACAGAAAAUCCCUGAAGUAGGCUACAUGGAAUCACUGUGUGUUAAGUUGGACGUGUCUUGAAAUAAUUAAAUUAUAAAAGAUGACUUGCUCGUGGUAGUAAUAAUUAGCUUUUACACUGGGCCAGGCACUGUUUUCAGCAUCUUAUAUGUAUUAUUUCAAUUAGUCCUCAUCAACUGUGAGUUGUUUUCGUUUCACAGACAAGAAAACUGAGGCAUAGAAAGAUUUUAUCUUUGCUCCAUCACCAGACAGUAAAAGGAGGAGCUAGGAUUCAAACACUGACAGUCUGACUCCAGGGCCUUCCCUAUGAUGGGACAGAGUGGGCUGGAAAUGCCUGUUCUCCAGCAGCCCUCAGCGUGCCCCAGACAGCCUGCUUAGAGCUUCUCAGGUGGCCUUUCAGAAGUGCCCUGCACUUACAGCUUGCAUGUGCUAGUGGAUUAUUCUCUGUUGCUCUGAACUUUUGUUUUUCUAGUUAACAGCAUACCCUGGACAUCCAGGAAAGAGCUUUAAAAAUUACCUUGUCUUCAUUUUAAGAAUGAAAAUGAACUCAGGCCUAGGAAGGUUAAAUGAAAUGCCAAAUUGGAUCUCUAACAAUUUGGGAUCACCAACAUUCGAUGGCUUCCUGUUUGGCUUCAAAAUUUAUUCUGACACUUGACUUCCGUGGUGUUAGCCAGUCUCAUGUGGCAGAUCAGAGCUCUUAACAAUGUCACAUGAUGACCAGAGACCCUCCUUUCCUUUUCUUCCUCUCUUUAUCCUAUUUCUAUAGGAUCUUGCUUUGAGUUAGAUAACAACGGAUAGAAAUUAGUUGAUAGGAUAAACAAGGGCCCCUCAAACUUUCAUCAUUCUCGUGCAGUCUUCUCAUGACACCUGUUAAUAUUUAAUAUCUUUAUCACACCAAUAUAGUAAGUAAUAUAUUGAGUAUUCAAUAUUGAACACAAUUUGGAUACUAUUUGUCAAUGAAUAUAUUAAAUUAUCACUGUUAAACCCUGAAUUUGAUGUGCCAAUCAUAAUUUUAGAACAUAUAUUAAAAUAAAUACAUAAGCAUUAAAAUUCAAAAAAUUAAUCCAUUACUAUCAAGCAGUGAUAUACAACUCACAUUUUGGGAGACAUAGAAACCAAUCUUGCUAUGUCAGCCAGAUCAGAACCCCACAGAUUUAUCUAUGCAAAAGAC